rnacentral:rRNA from 1 species
GGAGGGUGCAAGCGUUAAUCGGAAUUACUGGGCGUAAAGGGUGCGUAGGUGGUUAUAUAAGUUAUCUGUGAAAUUCCCGGGCUUAACCCGGGGCGGUCAGGUAAGACUGUAUGACUUGAGUAUAGGAGAGGGUAGUGGAAUUUCCGGUGUAGCGGUGAAAUGCGUAGAUAUCGGAAGGAACACCAGUGGCGAAGGCGACUACCUGGCCUAAUACUGACACUGAGGCACGAAAGCGUGGGUAGCAAACAGGAUUAGAUACCCUGGGUAGUCCACGCUGUAAACGAUGUCAACUAGCCGUUGGUCAUAUAGAAAUGAUUAGUGGCGCGGCUAACGCGGUAAGUUGACCGCCUGGGGAGUACGGUGCAAGAUUA